rnacentral:rRNA from 1 species
GACGAACGCUGGCGGCGUGCUUAACACAUGCAAGUCGAGCGGUAUGGCCCUUCGGGGUACACGAGUGGCGAACGGGUGAGUAACACGUGGGUGAUCUGCCCUGCACUUCGGGAUAAGCCUGGGAAACUGGGUCUAAUACCGGAUAGGACCACUGCCUGCAUGGGUGGUGGUGGAAAGCUUUUGCGGUGUGGGAUGGGCCCGCGGCCUAUCAGCUUGUUGGUGGGGUGAUGGCCUACCAAGGCGACGACGGGUAGCCGGCCUGAGAGGGUGACCGGCCACACUGGGACUGAGAUACGGCCCAGACUCCUACGGGAGGCAGCAGUGGGGAAUAUUGCACAAUGGGCGCAAGCCUGAUGCAGCGACGCCGCGUGAGGGAUGACGGCCUUCGGGUUGUAAACCUCUUUCAGCACCGACGAAGCGCAAGUGACGGUAGGUGCAGAAGAAGGACCGGCCAACUACGUGCCAGCCGCCGCAGUAACAC